rfam:Felis catus isolate Cinnamon breed Abyssinian chromosome A2, whole genome shotgun sequence.
GCCUGGGUGGCUCAGUCGGUUGAGCAUCUGACUUCGGCUCAGGUCACGAUCUCACGGCUCAUGAGUUCAAGCCUCACGUCGGGCU